CUCGUUAGGUUUUUAUGAAGCUCGAGCUCGAACUCGGCUCGGUUCGAGCCUACUUCUUUGAGCUCGAGCUCGGCUCGUGAGUAAAACCCAAAGCUCGAGCUCGAGCUCGGCUCGAUCCGGCUCGAACUAUUUUGAGAACAACCUUAAACGAGCUAAAAGCUCGGCUCGAGCUCACUUCAACAUCGCUUAAACGAGCCAAAGCUCGGCUUAUCAAUGUUAACAUCAUUAUUAAUAUAAUAUUUAUAAAAAAAAUUAAAAUUUUGUAUGGGCUCGUUUAGGCUCGCGAGCCUAAACAAGCUUUGUAUUUCAGGUUCGAGCUCGGGCUCGAUAACAAAACGAGCUCUAUUUCAGGCUCGAGCUCGGGUUCGAGCUCGUUAAGGCUCGGCUCGUUCGAGCUUUUAACCGAGCCGAUCACGAGUAGCUCUCGAGCCUCUGGGCUUGUUUACACCCCUAGUAGACAUACAUAUGUAUAAUUUUAGUUUAAAAUAUAUUUAUUAGUUUGAAAUUGUCAGACUUUGCUAUACCAUAAUUUUUAAUCAAUUAGGACACAAAUAUUCAUUUUGUUUUUUUGUUUUAGGAAUAAAAUAUGACAAGUAUUCAUAGAAUCCCAACGGUUCAAAAAUCAAAAGUGUUAUUUUUUUAAACAUAAUUGAAUGAAUUAGUUUCAAACAUUCAAGUACGAUUCCCUCAUAAAUUUUCACAUGCAUUGUCAAACAAUGGGUCAUAUCACCUCUUUUGAUAACAAAGUGGAGAUGGACCAUGUGGCUUUCGGUUUCAUUUCAUAAAGGCUAAAGCAGCCACACAUGGACCCUAAAAGCUCCAACUACAAAGUUCAAACAAGAAUUAGAUAAGGUUUGAAAUGGGCCAGACAUACAAAUUGGGCCUCUUGCAAAUUACUUAUACUAAAAAGAGAACACUUACGCUUUUUAUUGGAGACCAAUAUCCAAUAUUACUAAAGCCUUUUACAAAUUUUUGAUGAGUGAUACCUUGGGCUUCUUGUUGUGGCAUCACAACCUUAUAAUCAUCUACAACAACAAAAUGAUUGUGACUAAGGGGAUGAGCGUGAAAUGUAAUCCCGAUCAUUACCUUAGUUUAUAAUCGUUAAAGGGUCAAUAUUGUAAUUAUAUAUAUAUAUAUGGAACCCAUUAAGUGGAAGUUACCUUUGAAAUCAAUAUCACCCGUUCGAUCAUGCUGAGAUUAAAUCUCAGCCCUUUAAACUCCCAAAGAUAAUUGCUCUAAUGGCGGUUCAGGGAGGUUAUGGGAGUUUUCCUCCUAGUGGUUUUGCUCCAAAAUUUUCUGCCCAUUAUCUCCAUGACUCAACCUUGGUAGUUCUUUACGGUUUCUCUAGCCGGUGGUUAGGUCCAUCUUUUCCUGCCCAUGAUCUUCUCAACUCACUCCUACAAUCCUGGUAAACUGUCAACCGCCCACUAUAUUUUAGGGUUUGAAGAGGUUAAAUGUAGAUGGACUACUGCGGUUGGGGCAAGAAGGAAAUACGAAGUAGAGUUCUCCUGGAUUCCUUCAAUUGACGAUGGUUCCCCCAUGCUCUCCUAAUUGCAGGUCAGCCAAUUUGUGCUUCUCACCCACCUAUAAAUCUAUCGUCCCAUCUCCAAACAAAAAAAGCGAAUGAAGAAAGUAGAUACGAACUACGAUUGACGGAGUGAGCAGGGGUCGAUAUAAUUGAUCUAGGGUUCCAGCCACAAGUUAAGGUAAUAAGUUCUUAGUCUCAAAUCGAAUUUUUUUAAAUCAAAUUUUUUUAUAUGAUCUAGGGUGUUGUAGCGGCGAAGAGAGGAGGCCUGAUGACGUUAAGGAAGCUUUGAAAUCGAGAAGAGUGGGGAAAAUUUUCAGUUUCAUCUUCAAUUGACACCUUGUAUGUCCAUCAUCAAUUGGCACACAUCUACCAAUGAUAUGCUUGGUAGAUGUUGCUAUUAUUAAGGUUGGAUUAGGAGGAAAGAGGGAUGCACCUAAUGUGGUAUCCAAGUUUAAUAAAGGAAAAUUCAUAAUUCUACAUACAAAGAAGGUGUCUAAUAUGAUCCACAUUUUUUCCCGGAUCACGCUACUAGGGUAUGACCACACAUAAAUCCUUGGUAAUACUUUGAAUAAAUUGCGGGACAGAAUGCUAAGGUGCCUUUUCAAGCGUCAGAACUUGCUUUCAUAUUAAGCUAUAUGGGGCAUCAAAGAACCGGUCACUUUGAAGUGAAAUCGUAGAUCUGACUAUAAGCAUGGUAAAAGGGAAACAGGUGGAUCAAACAGGCACUUCUUUUAGUUUGGGUUCACAAAAUGGAUGGGUCAGGCGGGUAAUCUGAUAAAAACGAUUUUCCCUUUCCGACCAGUUGACGAAAGUUGUUAUCCAGUGUUUUACAAUAUCUUUUGGAUGAAUUUGUAUCUAUAAAUAAUUCUGAUUCUACUCUUUGUGUUAACUGGUCUGUUGGGUUAAUCUUGAUGUUACGGACUGUGUACGGGUCAAGUCGGUUACCAGUUUUGUUUAAAUGGGUCACCGAAUAGAAAACGGGUCAUGGGUCGACAUCUUAUCGGUACGGGUGAUAGGUACAGUUCAUCUAUUGAUAAAAUGACUCGGUCUCGGUUGACUAGGAAAGUAGGAGCUGAACAUGGAGUUUGUGAAACACGUUUGAUAGGUGAACGUUGCAAGUUUGUUGCAUUAGGAAGAUGUGGACUGAGUUUUUUGCAUGUGCUUAUUUAGUUUAUUAUAAAUACGAGUAUUUGUUCUUUUGUUAUGUACCCCAUUUUUCAUAUUCGAGUACAGAAGCUUUCACUUUUGCAUUGUAUUUCUUUUUCACUUGCAUUACAUACUACAUAUACGAGAGUUGAGUGUGGUGCCUGAAACCAACAUGGUCACCCUAAUUUGCUAAUGGUGGGUCUCUCCAACACAUGAAUGACCCUGGGUUGUCAGUUUGUUUUAUGGUGAGGAGCAUUCUUUACACUUUAAAUGGUGGUAUGUGAUUCGAGUCAUACAGUGCCACUAUGCAAAAUGGUUGCUUCUCCCUUCCUGAUAACUGAUUGGGUUCUUAAUCAUUUGUAGGUACUAUUUUUGAAUCUCAGCAUUGACAUAUUUUUAAAGAUGACAAAAUGGAUGGGUCAAGUAACGGGUUAACACCGCUACAUUAUUGGCCAAUUUUCAAGUGGAUCAAGUUUAAUGCAGUUCAAAAGGCUUCGGGUUUGUUACCUAUGCAGGGCUAAAGCAUUGAAUGGCCAAGAUGGGUAGAGAUAAAGGAUUGAACGGUUACAUUGGGUGGCUAAAAACGUUACUCGGCUUCUUUUAGUGGACUCCACUUUACUAGAGUAAAUCUCAAAGCUUCUUCAUCUAGAUUACCAUUGCAGCUUGAAACUACGUUAUCGUUUGAUCGUUGUUGUAUACUCGGUUAUAAAGAUUGCAGUGUAUAACUGAAUACCGAGAGCGAGAAGAUUCAGAGGCGUCCUGAUUCAGUGUGUUCACGAGUUGGUUACGGCAUCAAUGAGAUGUUGAACUCUUUGCUGGUUGUGGUGAUCAGUCCAUCCAUAGAGUUUUUGAUGAUUCUAGUAUGAGUCAUUAUAUAGCCAAUAUGGUUGGCAAUAGCGCUUCCGAAACAUAUAACUUGUAUGUGAAGUGCUUAAAGCUCAUGGUGUUGACCAAACUAAAAGGCAUUGUGGUCAAUACCUCUGGAAUAGAUAAGAAAUAACAAAAAGAUUACUUGGUAUUUUAGUCUUUUGCUAUUAUGCUAACUUUUUACAUUAAUGUAGGUGCUCUUAUAAAUUUUGUAUAAUAGCUUUAACACAAGAGGUAAUUCUUGGUACGUAUAGUGGCCAACUACAUGAAAUUGUUUUUGGUGAGGAAGAUAAAAGGGAGAAAUACAUUGAUUCUUUGUAAUACGUUAGAAAUAGUAGUUUACCAAUUGCCGCCCAAAGAAAGGAUAUUGUUUUAUUUAUUUAUUUUUAAAUCAAAUGGGUAUUUGGCUAAACCUAAUACUUGGUGUUUUAAGAAGAAUGUUCCCCUCGGAAAACACAUGCCCUAUACGAUGGUCCUCUCCGCCCACCCAGGCGGGCCCCUGAGUAUGGCUUUGUAUAUGCUAUUACCAAGUUGGUCCUUUUUAUUUAUGAUCUUUACGUAAUAUAAUUUGUCAAAUGAUGACACUAAAUUGUACAAUCUUUCGUAGUGAACUUAUGUUAAUGAGUUGUACUUUGAGCAUUAACA